rnacentral:rRNA from 1 species
GAUGAACGCUGGCGGCGUGCCUAAUACAUGCAAGUCGAGCGAACAGACGAGGAGCUUGCUCCUCUGACGUUAGCGGCGGACGGGUGAGUAACACGUGGAUAACCUACCUAUCAGUGUGGGAUCACUACGGGAAUCCGGCGCUAACACCGGAUAAUAUAUUGAACCGCAUGGUUCAAUAGUGAAAGUCGGUUUUGCUGUCACUUAUAGAUGGAUACGGGCCGCAUUAGCUAGUUGGGAAGGUCAAGGCCUAGCACGGCGACGAUGCGUAGGCGAGCUGAGAGGGGGAUAGCCGACACGAGAGCGUGGACGCGGACAAGACUCCUACGGGAGGCACCAGUAGGGUACGGUCGGCAGUGGUCGAAAGCCUUACGCAGCAACGCGGCGUGAGAGAUGAAGGUCUUCGGAGCGUAAAGCUCGCUUAUUGGGGGAAAACAAAUGUGUAAGUAGCUAUGCACGUCUUGACGGUACCGAAUCAGAAAGCCACGGCUAACUACGUG